AGAACGCUGGCGGCGUGCCUAACACAUGCAAGUCCAGGAGAAUUGGUUUCUUCGGAAUCCAUAGUAAACUGGCGAACGGGUGAGUAACACGUAAGUAACCUGCCCUGGAGACGGGGAUAACACUGCUAACGCGGUGCUAAUACCGGAUAAUGCAGCGGAUCCGCAUGGAUAUGUUGUUAAAGCUGGCCUCUUCAUGAAAGCUAGCACUUCAGGAUGGACUUGCGUCCCAUUAGUUUGUUGGCGGGGUAACGGCCCACCAAGACUACGAUGGGUAGCCGGCCUGAGAGGGUGAUCGGCCACACUGGGACUGAGAUACGGCCCAGACUCCUACGGGAGGCAGCAGUAGGGAAUUUUCCGCAAUGGGCGCAAGCCUGACGGAGCAACGCCGCGUGAGGGAUGAAGGUUUUCGGAUCGUAAACCUCUGUCUUCAGGGACGAUAAUGACGGUACCUGAGGAGGAAGCCACGGCUAACUACGUG
rnacentral:rRNA from 1 species